CUUGACAAAAAUCGACAGCUGAUAACCUAUUCUCGAGCCUUUGUGGAGGGAACUAAAAAGAAAUCCAAUAAUUCAGCAGGAGAUGAAGAUCCUAAAAGACGAACAAAUCAAAUAAAAAGAAAUGACCUCCUUUUGAGCAAUGAACGAGGGUAAUGGCUUAACGUUAACUUUCUGCUUCUUCACAAAAGAAAGUAAACGUCUAUCUACUUCCAAUAGGGAAAGAAAUCAGUAGUUGGUUAUUGCGAUAAAGAAACACUAUGUUAUUGCAAAAGAAACAGCAAUUUGUUUCUACAGGUUGCAAGCAAUUCGCAGACUGACUGUAUCGGCCUAUAAUAUUAUUUAAAUAGUGCAGUUGUAAAGUGGGAGAUUAACAAGAGAUACUGAAUUCGAGUGGUACGAUAUAUCGGUUUCCGACUGGGGCAUCUAACUACUAUUCCACCUACUCCAGCGGCGAGCAAUACUGGAUGGCUCUGAGCCUUCGACGGGGCUGCGCUAUUUAGGUAAGUGGGGUGAAAGGCCGAAAUGGGGGCCAAAAGACUUUCAAGUGGCGUAUAAGGGAAACGAGCAAGACUUUUGGAAGCUUUAAGGUCCCAAGUGGGAUGAAGGUGAAGGCGAGGCGUCUUCUCUUGAAGCCAAGGUUUCCCAGUAAAAAGAAAGUGGGAUGCCAUCUAAUCCCUAUGUCACUUUUACGCUGACAAAAUAAUCGUGAUAUACGUUAAACAAGAGGAAAGGAGAGACUAGCAAAAGAAGUGUUUUGUCAUUCAAGCGACGAUCCUUCAUAC